AAUCAGCUAGGGACACUUUUGGUUUCAGAAUCGAGACGACGACGUGCACUUUUCCACCGGCCACCACAACAACCACCACCAAUACUCAGUUUUUUUGGCACUGUACACCAGCGGAAUAUCAAUACUCAGCAAGUUUCCUCAAAACACCAAUCCUCAGUUUUUUUUUGGCAUUGCACAAAUACAAACGAGGCGUUGCACACCAACGGACACAUAUCACCAAUUCUUGUUGCACUUCCAACCAACGCAGGCAAACCAGGUACGUGAUUGCUUUAAUAUCACUUGGAUACCAAUCGUUUUUUAAAAAAAAAAAAAAAA